AGUGAACGCUGGCGGUAGGCCUAACACAUGCAAGUCGAACGGCAGCACAGUAAGAGCUUGCUCUUACGGGUGGCGAGUGGCGGACGGGUGAGGAAUACAUCGGAAUCUACUUUUUCGUGGGGGAUAACGUAGGGAAACUUACGCUAAUACCGCAUACGACCUACGGGUGAAAGCAGGGGAUCUUCGGACCUUGCGCGAUUGAAUGAGCCGAUGUCGGAGUAGCUAGUUGGCGGGGUAAAGGCCCACCAAGGCGACGAUCCGUAGCUGGUCUGAGAGGAUGAUCAGCCACACUGGAACUGAGACACGGUCCAGACUCCUACGGGAGGCAGCAGUGGGGAAUAUUGGACAAUGGGCGCAAGCCUGAUCCAGCCAUACCGCGUGGGUGAAGAAGGCCUUCGAGUUGUAAAGCCCUUUUGUUGGGAAAGAAAAGCAGCAGGUUAAUACCCCGCUGUUCUGACGGUACCCAAAGAAUAAGCACCGGCUAACUUCGUG
rnacentral:rRNA from 1 species